rnacentral:rRNA from 1 species
UGGGGGCUAAGCUUCACUGCUCAAAAGGGAAACAGCCCGGAUCUCAAUUUAAGGUCCCUAAAUCUAUGCUAAGUGCAUCACAAGGUGGUGGAAUUUCUCAAACAAUGAGGAGGUAGGCUUAGAAGCAGCCAUCCUUGAAAGAAAGCGUAACAGCUCACUCAUCGAGAGAUUCUGCGCCGAAGAUAAUCGGGGCUAAGCAUAGUACCGAAACUGAGAGUGCCGUGCGUAGCACGGAAUUUCCAAGUUCCAAUAACCAAGUUUCAAACAAUAAUUAAUUUUUAAUAUUAAAUUUUAAAAUUUGUUUGUGAUUUGGAAAUUGUGAUUUGGAAUUUCCGCGCUGUGCGCGGCGCGGUAGGAGAGUAUUCGCAUCGCAUUGAAGCUCUAGCCGUGAGGCGGAGUGGAGCGUUGCGAAGCAAGAAUGUUGGCACAAGUAACCACAAAUCCCGAUGAGAAAUCGGGACGCCGAAAGACCAAGGUUUCCUUGGCGAUGAUUGUCAGCCAAGGGUUAGUCGGGCCUAAGCCAAUGGCGAAAGCCGCAGGCGAUGGACACACGGUUAAUAUUCCGUGACUUUUAUAAAAAUCGACGGGAGGACGGAGCUUAGUAUGCCGAGCGCCUUAUUGGAUUGGCGUUCAGGCCGCGAGGAAGAUGCCUAGGAAAAUCCGGGUAUGCCCUUUAGUGGGACUUCCCAGCGGAUCGAAGACCGUGCGUAGCACGGAAAUUCCAAAUUCCAAAUCACAAAUUCCAAACAAUAAUUAAAUCUCAAUUUUCAAAAAUUAAAUUUUGAUUAUUGAAGUUUGUUUGCCCGCCCGAACGACCGUUCGGUCGGUCGGGGAGCUUGAAUAUUGGAGCUUGGUGCUUCCGCGCUGCGCGCGGGAUUUGGCAAAGCGGGCUUCCAAGAAAAUUCCCUAAGAUUAUUUUUAUGAAAACCGUACCGCAAACCGACACAGGUGGUCAGCUCGAGAAGAGCAAGGCGAACGAGUGAAGGUUCUCCAAGGAACUCGGCAAAAAAUCAGCCGUAAGUUAGCGAUAAGGCUUGCCAGCGCAUCUCACUAAGGUGAGAUGCUUAAAUGUAAAAUGUAAAUCUCAAAAUGUAAAAUGACAAUGAAAAAUCUGAAAAUUUUUAUUUUAAAUUGUAAUUUUUAGUUUUGAUUUUUUAAUUUUGAAUUUGAGCACCGAACUUUUGUGAGGUGCGUUGGCUGCAACAAAAGAAUGCCUGGCGACUGUUUAUCAAAAACACAGCUCCCUGCGAACUCGAGAAGAGGAUGUAUAGGGGGUGACACUUGACCAAUGCCAGAAGGUCAAAUAACGGCGUUGUCCCGAUGUAAAUCGGGAUGGUGACUGUUAUAAGCCCUGGUGAAUGUCGGCAAUAACUAUAA